rnacentral:rRNA from 1 species
AUUGAACGCUGGCGGCAGGCCUAACACAUGCAAGUCGAGCGGGGUUUUCGGACCUAGCGGCGGACGGGUGAGUAAUGCGUAGGAAGCUACCCGAUAGAGGGGGAUACCAGUUGGAAACGACUGUUAAUACCGCAUAAUGUCUACGGACCAAAGUGUGGGACCUUCGGGCCACAUGCUAUCGGAUGCGCCUACGUGGGAUUAGGGAGUUGGUGAGGUAAUGGCUGACCAAGGCGACGAUCCCUAGCUGGUUUGAGAGGAUGAUCAGCAACACUGGAACUGAGACAGGGUCCAGACUCCUACGGGAGGCAGCAGUGGGGAAUAUUGGACAAUGGGCGCAAGCCUGAUCCAGCCAUGCCGCGUGUGUGAAGAAGGCCUUCGGGUUGUAAAGCACUUUCAGUAGUGAGGAAGCGUUGUGUGUUAAUAGUACACAGCGUUGACGUUACCUACAGAAGAAGCACCGGCUAACUCUGUGCCAGCCGCCGCGGUAAUAC